rnacentral:rRNA from 1 species
CCUACGGGUGACAGCAGUGAGGAAUAUUGGGCAAUGGACGAAAGUCUGAACCAGCCAUGCCGCGUGCAGGAUGACGGCUCUAUGAGUGGUAAACUGCUUUUGUAUUGGGGUAAACACCCCGUCGUGUAGGGGCGUGAAAGUAUAAUACGAAUAAGGAUCGGCUAACUCCGUGCCAGCAGCCGCGGUAAUACGGAGGAUCCAAGCGUUAUCCGGAUUUAUUGGGUUUAAAGGGUGCGUAGGCGGUUUGAUAAGUUAGAGGUGAAAUACCGGUGCUCAACACCGGAACUGCCUUUAAUACUGUUGAACUAGAGAGUAGGAGAGGUAGGCGGAAUGCAUGGUGUAGCGGUGAAAUGCUUAGAGAUCAGGCAGAACACCGAUUGCGAAGGCAGCUUACCGAACUAUAUCUGACGUUGAGGCACGAAAGCGUGGGUAGCAAACAGGAUUAGAUACCCCAGUAGUC